CGAAGAAUGACGGGGAAUCGCCGGCUUCUCCCCGGAUUCCGGGGAAGAGCGGGAGGAAAGUCCGGGCUCCACAGGGCAGGAUGGUUCCUAACAGGAACCGGGGGUGACCCCAGGGAAAGUGCCACAGAAAGGAUACCGCCUUUUUCGGGGGAAAGCGGUUUUUCCCGGAAGAAAGAGGUAAGGGUGAAAUGGUGGGGCAAGAGCCCACCAGCUGCGGCGGCGACGCCGCAGGCUCGGUAAACCCCAUCCGGAGCAAGGCCAAAUAGGAAAGCGUUUGAGGACGGCCCGUCCAAGGCUUUCGGGUCUGGCCGCUCGAGACCGCCGGUGACGGCGGUCCUAGAUGAAUGAUUUCCGGCUGCCGGCGGGCAACCGACGGCGGAGACAGAACCCGGCUUACAGUGUUCUUCGGCCA
rnacentral:RNase_P_RNA from 1 species